AAUGAACGUUGGCGGCGUGGAUUAGGCAUGCAAGUCGAGCGUGAUCGGUUCCCUCACCUUGCUUUCUCUUGGGAGAAGGUGUGGUGAGGGGACCGUGAAAGCGGCGAAAGGGAGAGUAACGCGUAGUUAUGUGCCCCGAGGUCCGGAAUAGCCACGGGAAACUGUGGGUAAUGCCGGAUAAUAUCUCAGGAUCAAAGGUGUGAUUCCGCCUUGGGAGCAGACUGCGUCGUACUAGCUUGUUGGUAGGGUAAUGGCCUACCAAGGCGAUGAUGCGUAGCGGGUGUGAGAGCAUGACCCGUCUCACUGGGACUGAGACACUGCCCAGACACCUACGGGUGGCUG
rnacentral:rRNA from 1 species